rnacentral:rRNA from 1 species
AACGAACGCUGGCGGCAUGCCUAACACAUGCAAGUCGAACGAAGGCUUCGGCCUUAGUGGCGCACGGGUGCGUAACGCGUGGGAAUCUGCCUUUUGCUUCGGAAUAACAGUUAGAAAUGACUGCUAACACCGGAUGAUGUCUUCGGACCAAAGAUUUAUCGGCAAGAGAUGAGCCCGCGUAGGAUUAGGUAGUUGGUAGGGUAAAGGCCUACCAAGCCGACGAUCCUUAGCUGGUCUGAGAGGAUGAUCAGCCACACUGGGACUGAGACACGGCCCAGACUCCUACGGGAGGCAGCAGUGGGGAAUAUUGGACAAUGGGGGCAACCCUGAUCCAGCAAUGCCGCGUGAGUGAUGAAGGCCUUAGGGUUGUAAAGCUCUUUUACCAGGGAUGAUAAUGACAGUACCUGGAGAAUAAGCUCCGGCUAACUCCGUGCCAGCAGCCGCGGUAA